GAUUUAACCCUUACAUUUAUUCAAAAAUUCAAUUAUUGAAAUUCAAAAGUAAACAAAUUUCAAACCAGAAAAAAAUUUUUAAAUGAAGAAAAUAAAAUUCCGAAUACUUUCUGCUUAUGCAAACAACUCAUGGAAGCAAUUUACUAGUGUUUUGUGCUCCAACUGACAAAUUGCAAAAAAUUUUAUCAAUAUAUAUUACAUUGUUCAAGAUAAAAAAGACGAGUUAAUGUAAACAAAUACAUGAAGUGCUGAACACAAAGACGACGACACGACACGACGCACAUAGGAGCAUUUACCCUCAAAAACCGGACAAAAUUGAAAAUUACAAAAUUCAACGAUGGUACUCAAAAUUGUUUUUUUUUUGGUACAUAAAUAACCGGUCUACAAUGAACAGAUCAAAUGAAUGACCUUCAGGCCGCUAUAUUGCCAUACAAGUAGUCGAAACCUAGACUUCGUUCAGAACGCACAUGAUUAUUCGCGAAACUCUCCAUUGUUCUCGAGAUUGUAAGUGGUUUUUUUUAUGCGUGAACGGAAUUCUUGGAAAUAUUUGUUAUGGAUUCAGGACAGCAUGGUUCAAAAUCAAAAGUUAUAGAGAUGUCUCGAAAGACAUUAUAUAUGCUUUGUAGGGAAAGCGCUGCGAGAAAAUGGGAAGAUAAAACGUCAUAUAUGAAAAAAAAGCUUCAAGAAAUGAUGAAGUGUCCAGAAGGCGAAUUUCAAACUUUAAGUAAUGAUUUAAUGAAGUAAUGAUUUGUCCAGUUAUACUGAAGAAAGAUUUGUCAAAAAAUACGAAGAAUGGCUUAACGCUUCCAUUUUAGUACACAAUUGGACGCCGAAUACAAACUCUGGGCGCCCAAGCAUACAAUUCCAAGAGUUGUCUGAUCGUAGUAAACGCCGGAACACUAAAGACCUUCGCGAGCAGAUACCUGUCCAGGAGCUUACUUACGCAGCUAGCGUUAGUCAAAGGAUGUCAGGUAAUGCUGCUGCGUCUAAACUUAUAAUAGACGUAACUUCUACACCUACAAGAGCCAUAAAAUACAAAAAAUAAUAGAAGCUCAGAAGUAUACAGGGAAAGGUCUGGACUAUUAAUAGACAUGCCAAAAGCUGGUUUCGGAAAUUCUAAUUCGGGUAACACAUCUCGAAGAUUCUUCAGCGAUCCAGAUUUAGCUGCUGAAAUUACAGGAAUAAAAAAAGAUUUCAUAAUCAAACUUAAGGUCAUUCUAGAAGCAAUGUCAUCUGUCCAUAAAAUUGAUGUAAUGAAAUUUCAAAUCUUUUGCAAAGAUACAGCAAAAAUGUACGUGGAGAACUACUCCUGGCAUCCAAUGACGCCCACUCUUCAUAAAAUACUUGCACAUGGCCCAACAAUCAUAAAACACGCUAUCUUACCUAUCGGUCAGUUAUCAGAAGAGGCAGCGGAGGCUCGAAACAAGCAUUAUCGUCUAUAUCGACAAGACUUUGCAAGAAAAUUUUCACGGGUUCAGUGCAACCAAGAUGUUUAAACAGGCUUCUUCUCACAUCUGAUCCAUUUUUAAUUUGCCAGCGAAAACGUCAGCGAAGCAAAAGCCAACCCUUCUUGAGUGAAACUAUAAAGCUCUUCGAGUCACAGGAACCAGAGGUCCACAUCGACACUCAAACAGGGUUGCCUGAACAUUCUGAUGAAUCAGAAGAGCCUUUGUAACAACACACACGGAUGAGUUCUUCUUUUUUUGUUAUAAUUUUAUUUUAUCAUUUUAUUUGAAUAUAUAUUCAAUAUAAAAUGUUCGGUUGCACCCGAAAUUAGCCCUUCCUUACUUGUUUUAUUUUAAUAUAUUGCAUUAUUAUAUUCAAUCAUGCAUUUUCAUCCAUAAAAUCACUUAAAAUAAUUUUGUCCGGUUUUUGAGGGUAAAUGCUCCUAUGUGCGACGUAGCGACGGCUGACCACAAAUGUCGCUUUGAAGUCAGCGUAUUGAACAUUUUGAAGACGGCAGCGACAUAUCAAACAGCAAUUUCAUUGUUGCCGUACUAACAUCUUUCACUUCAAUAAAAUUUACAUAUUUACCCAGCAAGUCAUGGGUACUGAAACUCCAACACAUUCAAAGAAAUUUUAAUAACACCACUACACACACACAUACACAACAAAGGGUAAAAUGUGCAUAAACAUUUAACUCAACUCUUCUCUCAUACAGCACCCUGAAUGAUAGAAAGAAACCACCAAAGUUCUCGUGUUUGAACAAGUUUUGUUUUGAGCUAUAUCAUGGCUGCUUGUGAAGUAUUAUUUUGCGUGCUUUAUUUAAUUCAGUGAUCUGUAGCCUAAUUAAUGUAUAAAUUAUUGAAGCACGCAUUUUUAAAUAAGUAAAACGUAAAAUAAAAGUUUUCUAAGGCCAAAAUAUGGAAUUGAAGAGGGUGAUACAGUAAUACUUCAUUGCACUAUCAAUUCGAAGCACGCAAUAGAAGCUACGCCAACAAUGGUCAACAUCAGUGGCGAAACCAUUGAAUACAUAUUUCAAACCUCAUAUGGCGCGUUAAAGGUACGCAAACUUAUUGGUGUCACUUAUUGUAGCAGCGUAGAACUUUCGAAGCGAUGGAAUAUGUGCUCCAAGCAAAUCCAAAACUAUGGACGCAAACGCUGCUACAUGGAACACAAAUCAUUCACACACCAGAUAUUACGUUUAAUGUCACUUUUUUGCGUGCAAUUAAACCUUUUGGUCAACACAAGCACGAGAAUUGGAACGACAUGGUUUAGGUGUUUUUGAAACCGUUUAUUAUCACGACGUGUGUCAACUGGAUUUUGCCAAUGAGCUAGAGGGCAAAGCAGUUUCAGUAUCUUUGAGCUUACUGGCACUUGGUCGUGCCAUUAGCAGCUAAAACACAGAAAUUAAAGGGAGAACUUUUUUGAUUCAUUUUCACCUUGUAUUGAGGAAUCAUAACGUUGUUGUAUCGCUUUACAAGGACAUAAAUUCACCGAAUUUAGUUCAAUGGAAAUACUACAGCAAGAGCAUGGAUGUUAAGACUUGAACGGUGGCGUGUUAGAUUUAGAAUUCCUGAAACAUAAGAAACCCUCCUCCCAGAUGAAUCUAGUACUAGUAAAAUUAAUGAAAGAACAGAUCUUAUAAAAACUCCGAAAGAAACCAAAAGAGUCCUCACAUAAUGUGCGCAGCUUACACUUCCAGACCGCACGGGGUAUUUGACAUUUUCCACUCUUCCUCCAGCCUUUGUCCGAUAGCAAAAAUUGUUCAAAUAUUCAUUUUCACCUACUUUAUACAUAUGUAUAUAGUGUAGUACGAUAAUAUAUGUAUAAAGUAAAUAUAAUAAUAAACAACUAAAUGGCAUGAUAUUUUCAAUAAAUAUGUAAUAUAAUUAAUGAUUUUGUUAUUAAAUUCUCAUUUGGGAUUUUGGUAGAACUAACCGAAAACAGAGAGUAUAGUUUCUGGGCUUUUGUGGGUCGCAGUACUGAAAGUGCACGUGG